GUCACGGAGGUUAGUUUGGUCCCCGUCUGAGUAAACACAGCCGAGGCUGCGACGCGCCUGGGUUCGUUGUCCUUCCAAUGCAACCCGUCAGCUGCCCCGAAAGCCACACGCACACGCACAGGGGCUGGGAUGCCGAGCCGCCAGCGAGGCGCUGUUCGCACCAUCUCUAGAGCCGCUCGCUGCGGAGCGGAGCGUGUCCGCAAUCCAGACUCGGCGAAGACGCCCUGCAACGGAAAGGGACGACCACGCGCUUCACUUUGAGAAUGAAGAUGAGCUCGCGGAUGGAGACGCGAGUAAAGGAGAACCCAGCCGGGCCACCCGCUGAAGUCCGUGAGAAGAAGGUUCCGUGGAGCGAACCGACCAUGAAGAUGCACAGCGAGCGCAAGAGCCCAACUGAUGGGAAAGAUGGGAUGGGAAAGAACUCACAGCCAAAUGGGCAGGACUGGAUUCACGCAGUCGCCGCUUCGUGUGAUGGCCGGGAUACAGGGGGCCUCUUGUGAAACCCAAAAUGAAAGCUGCCUCUUGCAUGGCCGCCUGUGUUAAUGUCAAGCAUUCGACUGCCUCGCACUCCGCCCACGAGAAAACCCAUAAAAAAGGUCAGUUUCUCAAAUUACCUCUGCCUCUUCCUGCUGUUGUUUCGAGCCAUUUCUUUACGACGCAGGAUGCAGAGGACGAGCGGCUUGUUUCCGAAGGGCAACCAACAAAACAAAAUCGUUGGAAGGAAUUUCCGGAAUGUUAAGGGUUAAGGUAGAAUAGGUGUCACUGUACACCCGCAACUUUUUAUUCCUCUUUACGAGGAUUUAAGCGACGAC
rnacentral:lncRNA from 1 species